rnacentral:lncRNA from 1 species
CUGCAUUUUAAUAUUGAAACAGCUAUCACUGCACAAACCAGGUGAGAAGAGAUUAAGGAAAUGUAAUCGGAUCACAAGCCAACAAGAAGUCUCGGAAAUUCAGUGAGCAGCACGCAAAACCUGCCUAAAUCAGGAGUAACAAGAAG